GCGCUUGCUUUGGCAGCACAUACACUAAAAUUGGAAUGACCGAGAGAAGAUGAGCAUGGCCCCUGCGCAAGGAUGGUAUGAAAUUCAUGAAGUGUUCUGUUAAAAA
rnacentral:snRNA from 1 species